UACGUAGGGUGCAAGCGUUGUCCGGAAUCAUUGGGCGUAAAGAGCGUGUAGGCGGCCAGAAAAGUCCGCUGUGAAAACUCGAGGCUACAACUUCGAGCUGUCGGUGGAAACUUUCUGGCUAGAGUCCGGAAGAGGAGAGUGGAAUUCCUGGUGUAGCGGUGAAAUGCGCAGAUAUCAGGAAGAACGCCCGUGGCGAAGGCGGCUCUCUGGGACGGUACUGACGCUGAGACGCGAAAGCGUGGGGAGCGAACAGG
rnacentral:rRNA from 1 species